rnacentral:rRNA from 1 species
GACGAACGCUGGCGGCGUGCUUAACACAUGCAAGUCGAACGGGCUGCCUGGUUUUCGGAUCGGGUGGUGAGUGGCGAACGGGUGAGUAACACGUGAGUAACCUGCCCCUCUCUUUGGGAUAACGUCGGGAAAUCGGCGCUAAUACCGGGUGUUCUGGCUUCCUCGCAUGGGGUUGUUGGGAAAGGUUUUUUCUGGUGGGGGAUGGGCUCGCGGCCUAUCAGCUUGUUGGUGGGGUGAUGGCCUACCAAGGCGGUGACGGGUAGCCGGCCUGAGAGGGUGUCCGGCCACACUGGGACUGAGACACGGCCCAGACUCCUACGGGAGGCAGCAGUGGGGAAUAUUGCACAAUGGGCGGAAGCCUGAUGCAGCGACGCCGCGUGGGGGAUGACGGCCUUCGGGUUGUAAACCUCUUUCAGUGCAGAACAAGGCUCUUUGUGGGUUGAGGGUAUGCGCAGAAGAAGCGCCGGCUAACUACGUG